rnacentral:lncRNA from 1 species
GAUGUUUCCUUCAGGUGAUUUCUCCUCAAUUAUAAUUAGUAAGUCUACUCUGAGAAAGUUUCCUUCUGAAAAUUACAACGUUUGUCCAUCAAUGCCAAGUGCUUGUUUUUGCCAGUCUCUGUCCCUCAGAAGACCAGUGACUACGAUUUUCUAUCGUAACAGGAGUUUUUAAAAGAUGUCCUUUUUUUAGUGAUCCAGAGUUUAUGUGUGUUUCCAAUUUUACGAGGAGGAGGAAGCUGAAAAGCUGCCAUGUGCCUGGUGUGUCUGAGUGCAGUCGAAUGAAAGACAGACUUUGAUGUGUGAUGUGGAAAGCAGCUUCUGUUGAAGGUAACUUGAAAGCCAGUAGUUAUAUUGGGUUGCCAUAUGUCAUUUAGCUCAUGUAAAACCUUUUGUAGAAAUUGAAUCCCAUUGUGAGGUAGUAAGAGAGUAGAAACAAUCUGAUUCUGUUGUUGGAGGUGGAGCCUUGGUGAAGUGAUUAGAGUCAGAUGAAGCCAUUAGGGUGGAGACUCUGACCUAAUGCUGGCAGCUUUAUAGAAAGAGGGAGAGACUAGUUCUCUCUCUCUCUCUCUCUCUCUCUCUCUCUCUCUCUCACACACACACACACACACACACACACACACACACACACACACAUACACACACACAAACACACAUGUUUCUCAACAUGUGCUACCCUGCACCAUCUAGAUGCUGCCAGCAAGAAAGCUUUCACCAGAUACAGCUCCUUGACCUUGGACCAGAACUGUGAGCCACAGUGAACCAGUGCCGACUGCAGCUGUAGAGAGAGCAGUACUGCCACCACCACUCAGCAGACAGAUUCUCCAGCCCAGUGUUUUACCCUCACAUUGAACAGGUAGAACAUGCUGCUUGGGAGUCUAUCUCAGCCUGCGCUCUAAAAAUACAGCAGUGGGAAGCAUUCUGCACUCACCACUGUACUACAGAGAUGCCCAGACACAAG